GGGUGGGGCAGCCGCUGAGGGGCAGGGUCGGCGCAAAACGUGUAGCUGCCGAUUUCUACGGCUGAUGCAACACACAUAUGGCUAUUGCUAUGGCUAACGUAGCCGCGCAGCAGCGCAAAUCAAAGCCAGUUGACACACACACACACACAUAUACACACAGGACACACAUACUUGCACAACAGACGACGCUUAUCAAGCGCAUGCGACGCAAUAGCAGCCAGCGCCAGCACAGUGACAAAUAAUUAUUGCAAAGGUCCGACGCGAUAAAUUGAUAAUAUAUCGAUUAAUUAAUUUGUUAUGAAACCAACUCGAAAUAACAGGUGAGAGCAACGAUUCCUUCUACAAUUGCAGCGCUGAGUGUCACUGCAGUGUUGCCACCCAAUCAAUAUUUUUGAUGUGUGCAAUUUUAUGCAAGGGCAAGGCGAAUUAUUAAACAAAAGGAGUACAAAGAAAUUGUUUUUUGCUGUUGCUGGCUGACGAACCGCUAGACACAGAGCCAGCAGCGUCGGCGCGUGUGCUGCUGUUGCCGCAAAACAAGUCAAACCACUCACGCAUACAAGCACAGGUAUACAAGCACACAUACACACGUACACUCAUUCUCACUCGCACGAAAAGCAAAAGCUUUACCGGAACGACAACAACAAACAAAAAAGAAUACUGCAGUUGAGUAUGCGCGAUAGCUGAAUACUCUAUCUAACUGAAUUGGUAGUGAUAUGUUCAGCGAAAUAGAUUUUAAUUUAGUACGAUUAUGAAAAGAUUGCAAUAGUAUGGGUUUAUGUAUGCAUGUAUGCAUGUACGUGCACGUGUUCUUGAUUGUGCAUGUCGUACAAACAUGUCUAUAUGUACAUACCGCAUAUACCCUGCGGCAUUACAGUGUAUAGAGCAUAAGAAAUGAGAAAUAAUAUGCACAACAAAAUAAAAUCAAUAAGAAAUAGGCAAUAGGCAAUAGGCAAUAGGCGCUUACCACAGCAGCUGAGACGGCUGCAGCGGCGGCUGCUGAUGAUGCUGUUGCGUCGCUGCCGCCGCUGUUGCCCGCACAGCCAUUGGAAUUGGCAUCGGAGACCGCUGCAUCGGCGUCCAUGGUGUGUUCCCGUUCCCUGACGUUGGCCGCUGCUGCAGCGGCUGCCACAGCAGCAACAGCGGCAGCGACGCGAGCAGCAAACUCUUCGUGCUGCUGCUGCUGCUCAACCUGUUGCUUGCCAGCAGCUGUCAGCUGUUCCAGAUCUAGGCUAUGCAUCAGCGCCAGUUUAUCAGCUGCUUCCGAGUCCAGCAGCGCUGCCGCUGCCGUUGCAGCCGGCUCAACGUCGCCGUCAACGGCGGCAUCCAAGACGGCGGCGUCAACGUCGCGUUCGCCGUCCAAAAUAAAUCGUAUGGCCUCAUAUGCAAACCACAUGGGCUGAUAGUGAACGCCGCGGCUGCGUCCGUUGAGCACCUUGCCGUGCUCGCGAUGGAAGGAGGAGCGCAGCGAUUUGAUUUUCGAGCGUAUCGAUCGAAUUUCCGUGCCAUAUUUUUGGCUUAGCAGCUUCAAGGCCUCGUAUUUGGUCUGCUUGAUGUGGUAGCCUUUGGUGUUGGGGUCCCAGAGCACGCGCUGGCGCCGAUAAUCCUCGAUGAAGCCCAAGAUCGUUGCGCGCGACCACUCAAUGCGGUCCGCGGGCGAUGCCAGCGCCGACGGCGACGGCGGCAGCGCUGCGGCGUCCGCAAUCAAUGCGAUGGCAUUGGAGUUGGCGUCGAGUUUGUACUGCGCUGCGCUGGCGCCGCUGCUGGACAUCGUGCGGAGAAAGUUAACUGUUAAGGAGACGGUGGUGCUGCUGCUGUGACGGUCGGUGCAGUGGGUGGUGUGUCUGGUGUGGCUGUGGUUGGUGCUGGUACGGUUGGGCUGGAUGGAUACGCGCGCGCGCGCAAGCGGCUGCCGGAGAGAGACAGAGACAGAUAGAGAGGAAGGUAGCAAAGAAGGUAAACGCAACGCAACGCAAAACGCAACGCGACGUAAAAAAAAGCGUCCACAACACGUUGCUUUUGACUUUCGACUGAGGCGGCGGCGGCCGCGGCUAGCGGUUGUGUGGCAGAGGAAGCGUAGCGGCAGCAGCAGCAGCAGCAGUAACGGCAGCGGCAAGUGUGGCGGCGGCGGCGACCAAACGGCAGCUCAGCUGCACUUUGUGCGAGAGAGCGCGCGACUGAGCGAUGCACAGUGGUACAAAACUGAAAUGCAAUUUACCAAAAUGCUAAUAACUUGGAUUAAAUAUGAGAACCGUUUUAAUAUGCAUAGAGUAGAACUUUUUCAAUAAAAUGUAAGCAACACACUAAAA